AUUGAACGCUGGCGGCAUGCCUUACACAUGCAAGUCGAACGGUAACAGGUCUUCGGAUGCUGACGAGUGGCGAACGGGUGAGUAAUACAUCGGAACGUGCCCGAGAGUGGGGGAUAACGAAGCGAAAGCUUUGCUAAUACCGCAUACGAUCUCAGGAUGAAAGCAGGGGACCGCAAGGCCUUGCGCUCACGGAGCGGCCGAUGGCAGAUUAGGGUGUUGGUGGGAUAAAAGCGUACCAAGCCGACGAUCUGUAGCUGGUCUGAGAGGACGACCAGCCACACUGGCACUGGGAACGGGCCCAGACUCCUACGGGAGGCAGCAGUGGGGAAUUUUGGACAAUGGGCGCAAGCCUGAUCCAGCCAUGCCGCGUGCAGGAUGAAGGCCUUCGGGUUGUAAACUGCUUUUGUACGGAACGAAAAGACUCCUUCUAAUAAAGGGGGUCCAUGACGGUACCGUAAGAAUAAGCACCGGCUAACUACGUGCCAGCAGCCGCCGUAACAC
rnacentral:rRNA from 1 species